CGUCUAAUUUCCAGAGAAACUAAGCACUCCCUUCGCUACCCGUAACGACUUCCAAGUUCCAAUUCCUCAAAGCCGUCAUUUAUUUUGAGUUUUCCCUUGAGUAAUCCACUUCUCAUUCAUUAAGAUUUCGGUGCACCUAUACGUUUCCCUUGAAACCGCCUAUAUCUCCAGCUAUAUAUAUCUCACCUCCAUACCAUGCAAACUCCAACUCAAACCAAAUCCGAAAACUUUUAAUUUGCAAGCAAACGAUUUCGAUGGCUAAUUCAUAAACCGUUCUUGCUGACUUGAGAGCCGGGAGAUGCUCCAACGCGGCGGAGGUCUGUCUUUUGAGAUUCUGGAAGCCAAGAACAUCAACAAAAGGGGACAACUGAUGAGCCUUGAGAUGUUAUUGAUUGAUGAACAAGCGUUUACUUACUUGAAGAAUGGUUCCAUGGUUUCUUUGAGUAGCUACAAAAUCCCACAGCCAAAAGCCGGCACCGUACUUCAACCGUGACUCCUCGGUUAUCCACCGCAGCUUCGUCGACUUUCAAUCCUUGCCGCCAUUUCUCAAUACAACUCAGCCACCUCCAAUGCCUCAACAGUAUCAAGACCAUUUACCUUGCCAGAAAAGUAAGCUGGAUCUCGGUUCAAUGUCGAACUCCUUACAGAACGGAGCCCAAGUUUUAGCAAACUCAGCUGCUUUCGUGAGAGCAUAGCACGUUAGCUGAGAGCUAGCGUCGUCCGAGAGAUAAACGACGAGAUUCUUUGGUGGGUAAACGAGAGCCAACACGGAUAGGACUGUGUUGACCAUCAUCAAUAAUGGCUCGAUCACCGGAUCCGCCAUGGAGUGGAAAAUAUCCAGCUUUGGGAGACCGUUACCGUAUCUCUGGGAGAGUCUAUUGGCGAAGGUGAAUCGCCAAACAGGAUUCCACCGGACAGAUUGUUGGUAUUAAUCAAACAAAACCGGUUUGGUAUUCAAUAAUCUCAACUGGUAUGGUAUGGUCAGUCUUUAAAGCAAAAGCCAACAGAUUCAGCCAAAAACGGAGGUCUUGAAACCUCUGAACGCAAUUUUUCCUCCGGUCCUCUUCCUGGUCACAAGAAGCGGCUAACUAUCGCCUUCAUGAACCAGUAUAAACUGGUAGUCUUUUUUUUUUUUUGACUGAUAAACCGGUCGUCUUCUUUUGUCCUGUUCUUCUUUCUGUGAUUUCUCUGAAACAGAGUAAGUGGAAAGCUAAGACUAGGGCAUCAGCCACAUAUUUACUUAUCCGACAUGUUCAAAAGCAACUAAGAAGGCACACCUUGAAUAGGUUGAAGAGGAUACAGUCUUAAACCAAGACGUCGACUCCUAAAAUAAUGCUUAGGCAUCGUUGUUGCUUUUAUUUACUUCAUCUGAUGUUAACUAUCUUCAACGGAAUAUAAAGUUAUAUUUGGAAUUCAUUAUCAUCUUUGGCCA